UACGUAGGGGGCUAGCGUUGUCCGGAAUCAUUGGGCGUAAAGCGCGUGUAGGCGGUCCGGUAAGUCCGCUGUGAAAGUCGGGGGCUCAACCUCGAAUGCCGGUGGAUACUGUCGGGCUAGAGUGCGGAAGAGGCGAGUGGAAUUCCUGGUGUAGCGGUGAAAUGCGCAGAUAUCAGGAGGAACACCAAUUGCGAAGGCAGCUCGCUGGGACGUAACUGACGCUGAGACGCGAAAGCGUGGGGAGCAAACAGG
rnacentral:rRNA from 1 species